GGCUCAGGACGAACGCUGGCGGCGCGCCUAACACAUGCAAGUCGAACGAGAGAUGAGGAGCUUGCUCUUCAAAUCGAGUGGCGAACGGGUGAGUAACGCGUGAGGAACCUGCCUCAAAGAGGGGGACAACAGUUGGAAACGACUGCUAAUACCGCAUAAGCCCACGGCUCGGCAUCGAGCAGAGGGAAAAGGAGCAAUCCGCUUUGAGAUGGCCUCGCGUCCGAUUAGCUAGUUGGUGAGGUAACGGCCCACCAAGGCGACGAUCGGUAGCCGGACUGAGAGGUUGAACGGCCACAUUGGGACUGAGACACGGCCCAGACUCCUACGGGAGGCAGCAGUGGGGAAUAUUGCACAAUGGGGGAAACCCUGAUGCAGCGACGCCGCGUGGAGGAAGAAGGUCUUCGGAUUGUAAACUCCUGUUGUUGAGGAAGAUAAUGACGGUACUCAACAAGGAAGUGACGGCUAACUACGUGCCAGCAGCCGCGGUAAAACGUAGGUCACAAGCGUUGUCCGGAAUUACUGGGUGUAAAGGGAGCGCAGGCGGGAGAAUAAGUUGGAAGUGAAAUCCAUGGGCUCAACCCAUGAACUGCUUUCAAAACUGUUUUUCUUGAGUAGUGCAGAGGUAGGCGGAAUUCCCGGUGUAGCGGUGGAAUGCGUAGAUAUCGGGAGGAACACCAGUGGCGAAGGCGGCCUACUGGGCACCAACUGACGCUGAGGCUCGAAAGUGUGGGUAGCAAACAGGAUUAGAUACCCUGGUAGUCCACACCGUAAACGAUGAUUACUAGGUGUUGGAGGAUUGACCCCUUCAGUGCCGCAGUUAACACAAUAAGUAAUCCACCUGGGGAGUACGACCGCAAGGUUGAAACUCAAAGGAAUUGACGGGGGCCCGCACAAGCAGUGGAGUAUGUGGUUUAAUUCGACGCAACGCGAAGAACCUUACCAAGUCUUGACAUCCUGCGACGCACAUAGAAAUAUGUGUUUCCUUCGGGACGCAGAGACAGGUGGUGCAUGGUUGUCGUCAGCUCGUGUCGUGAGAUGUUGGGUUAAGUCCCGCAACGAGCGCAACCCUUAUGGUCAGUUACUACGCAAGAGGACUCUGGCCAGACUGCCGUUGACAAAACGGAGGAAGGUGGGGAUGACGUCAAAUCAUCAUGCCCUUUAUGACUUGGGCUACACACGUACUACAAUGGCGUUAAACAAAGAGAAGCAAGACCGCGAGGUGGAGCAAAACUCAGAAACAACGUCCCAGUUCGGACUGCAGGCUGCAACUCGCCUGCACGAAGUCGGAAUUGCUAGUAAUCGUGGAUCAGCAUGCUGCGGUGAAUACGUUCCCGGGCCUUGUACACACCGCC
rnacentral:rRNA from 1 species